ACCAAAGCUUGGUAAAGCCAAGUUAUAGGAGAAAACAAGCAAGAAAAAAAGAGGCUACUUGCAGGAGAAGACAGGAGGGUUGCUUUAGCUCAGGAGGUCGAGGCUAUAACCCCCGGCGAGGCAGAAAGGAGCGCUCCUCCACCGGGUCCGGGACGCAGGCGGGAAGUGAUCAAGGCUCCCUGAGUCCCACCCGAGCGCUCCCGGUUCAGCGCAGGAGGGCUGUACCUGAGGCACCAAGGUGGCCUUCGCUCUCUUGACAUCUUGGUCGUCUGCGUCCGGCGCUUUCCUCUUGACGGAAUGAGGCGCUGAACUGGCGGACGAACCCGGGGCCCGUUGGUGUCCUGUCGCCCUCUGAGGCAGGCGUCCGCGUAGCGCUGUGGAUGUUCUUGCGAGCUUGAUUUCCCUCAUUCUCAUCCCUGCUCUGGGGGUAUAGUAGUCCAAAUAACUUAACUGUUCUCAUUCAUUUCUCUUUCAGGUUGUGGUGGAUUCUGUUUUGGCUGUUAGAAGACCAGGUUACCCUAUUGAUCUCUUCAUGGUAGAAAUAAUGGAGAUGAAGCAUAAAUUAGGAACAGAUACAAAGUAAAUUACAUAAGCUUUGACAACAUAUGGGUUCUAGAAUUUUUUAAAGAUAUUCUUUUAUUAAAUUCAUUACUUACUUUUAUUCAACAUAAAUAUAUUCAUUCACCAUAGGGAAUUUCCACAUAACUGUUAGCUAUCUUUAUCAAUUUCUAACAUAUGAAGCAUACCCUUCCCUCUUUCCCCCUCCCACCUAGGAUUAUUUUGAAGCAAAUCCAGACAUCAUAUACCACCUGUAAAUAUCAUAUAAUCCAUAAAACAUAAACCCCCUGCUUUUACCUAAUAUAUCCACAAAACAUUAUAACACCUUAAAAAUGAAUAACUCAUUAAUACUAUCACAUUUCCAGUUUAUAGUCUAAUUUGUCUAACAGUUGUCUCAGAUUUUUUUCAGUUUUGUUUGGAUUAAGAUCUACGCACAGUCUGUAUAGUGCACUUAGGUGAUAUCUCUUUUAGUCUCUGUUAAUUUGUUAAUUUGUAGGUUCUUUCUUCCUCUCAUUGUUUUUCACCUUGAUAAUUAUUUUGGAAAAGUCUGAUUAUUUGUCUUGAAGAGUUUUUGUGGGAAGAUUUUUGAUUACUCAUGCAAUUUUCUUCUUCUUCUUCUUCUUUUUUUUUUUUUUGAGAUGGAGUCUCACUCUGUCCCCCAGGCUGGAGUGCAAUGGCGUGAUCUUGGCUCACUGCAACCUCCGCCUACUGGGUUCAAGUGAUUCCCCUGCCUCAGCCUUCUGAGUAGCUGGGACUACAGGUGUGUGGCACCACGCCUGCCUAAUUUUUUGUAUUUUAGUAGAGACGGGGUUUCACCAUGUUGGCCAGGCUGGUCUCGAACUCCUCACCUUGUGAUCCACCCGCCUCGGCCUUCCAAAGUGCUGGGAUUAAAGGCGUGAGCCACCACGCCCGGCCCCACUCAUGCAAUUUUCUUAAUGGCUAUAGGACUAAUUAGGUUUUCUACUUAUUUUUUGAAUCAUUUUGGUAAGUAAUGUUUUCUUAGAAAUUUGUCCAUUUUGUUUAACUCUGAAAUUUUUGGUAUAAAGUGUUCAUAAAUAUCCUUACUGGCAUAAAAUUUUUAUAAGGAUCCUGUUUGCAGGAUCUGUAGUGGUAUCACCAUUUAUUUCUGGUGUUAUUUAUGCCUUUCUUUCCUUGUUGUGAUAAUUUUUUCCCAGAGGUUUGUUUUCAUUUCACAGUGUCUUUCUCUUUAUUAUUUAAUUUACUUUUUUGGAAUUUUGUGGGGACUUUUUUGCUGCUUCUGUUUUAUUGUGAUAGCUACUUAGGUUAUUAAUUUUCAGUCUCCUGCUUUUGAAUACAGUACUUAAGACCUUAAAUUUUUCUCAAAGUACUAUUCAGCUGCAUCCUUCAAGUUUUGAUAUGUAAUCUUAUGAUUUUUAUUCAGUUUAAAAUAUUUUCUAAUUUCAACUAGAAGUGUGUUUCUUAACAUGGGGAAAUUUUAGUUAUCUUAUUACUGAUACCUAGCUUAAUUACAUUGUGGUCAGAGAAUAUGCUCUAUGAGAUUUUUGCUCCUUUGAAAUUUGUUGACACUUGCUUUAUGGCUCAGUGUAUAGUCAGCUUUUGUUAUGUUAAUGUUUCAUGUACUUGAAAAGAAUGUAUGCUGCAGUUGGUAGGUACAAUUUUAUAUACAUGUCCAUUAAGAUCAAGGUAUCCUGUUAAUCCUGUUGUUCAGAACUUCUAUAUCCUUAUUGAUGUUUUGACUGCUUAUUCUGUCAAUUACUGAGUGAAAUGUAUAAAUAUCUUUCAAUAUUAUUUUGUACCUGUUUAUAUUUUACUUUAGUUUUGAGAGUUUUGCUUUAUAUAUCUUGAGACAAUCUUUUUAGAUGCAUAGUUUUUAAACUGUUACAUAUUUUCUGGUGCAUUGAACUUUUGUACUGAU
rnacentral:lncRNA from 10 species